ensembl:lncRNA
GCCGAGGCGGUUCCCGAUGCAAUGUCCACUGCCGAGGCGGUGCCCGAUGCCGAGGCGGUGCCCGUUGCGGUUGCCGAUGCGGUUCCCGAUGCAAUGUCCGAUGCCGAGGCGGUGCCCGAGGCGGUGCCCGAUGCCGAGGCGGUGCCCGAUGCGGUGCCAGAGACGGUGCCAGAGACGGUUCCCGAUGUAAUGCCCGAGACCGAGGCGGAGGUCGAGGCGGUGCCCGACGCUGUGCCCGAUGCCGAGGCUGUGCCCGAUGCCGAGGCGGUGACCGAUGCUGUUCCGCAGGUCGAGGCGGUGCCCGAGGCUGUGCCCGAUGCCGAAGCGGUGCCCGAUGCUGUUCCGGAGGCCGAUGCGGGGCCCGAGAUGGUUCCGGAGGCGAUACCCGUGUCCAAGGCCGUUCCCGAGGCGGUGCCCUUGUCUGAGGCCGUUCCCGAUGCCGUUCCCAAUGCCGUGACCUGGCCAUCGCCACAGCCUGCUCCUUACUGGCUCCCCGAUUGGCAGGUUCCGUUCGGGCCACUCAAAUGGCGAAUUCCUCCCUGGCCGUCUGCACAACGAGAAUGGACUGAUCCACCGUGGCCACCUGAACUGCCUGGCCCCUCGUGGUCCCCUGAACUUUCGGGUCCACCGUGGCCACCUGAACUGCCUGGUCCCUCGUGGUCCCCUGAACUUUCGGCCCCUGAUCUGACCGAGCCACCUGGGCUACCAGGGGAGCCAUCACUGCCGGUCCCAGUUCCCCUACACGGGCCUGGCCCGCCAUCCCUCCCCCUGUUCUGCCUCCACCAGUCCACCUCCCUCCUGGUCUCUUUGUUUUUUGGUUAUUUUGUUCUGAGGAGCAUCUGGAAGCUGCUCCUUAGAGGGGGGGUAGUGUCACGGUGUCUGUUCUGUGUCUCCCUGGGUGGCCACUAGAGGUCUCACUUCCCCUUAUCGUCACUCCACUUUAGAACUGCAUUUCCCAUAGUCUUGUCUGUUUCAUCACUGCUCAUUGCACUCAGCUGUCCGUGGUUA